GCUGCGAUGGCUCGAGUCUUAUGUUAGA
rnacentral:sRNA from 1 species